GACGCCCUGUUUAUCAGCCAUAAUGUUUGAUAACACGAGAAUAAAGCAAAGUAUCGUAUGUAAACCUUUUCCCCAAAUAUAAUUCAUUUUAUAAUUUAAAGUUAUUUUUAAUGAGGAAAAUUUGUGCAUCUUUAAAAGUAAACAUAAAGGAAUUGCUAAGUUAUUAUGGACUCUGAUCUCUUUAUGUAUAUUAUUUUAAGACAACCAAUGAUAAUAAUAAUAAUAGAAACAUGAAAAAACGCCUCUCUAUCAUAUCUUGAUUUGACCAAUCACAUUAGCGCUUUUAACCCAAUUCAUUUGCCGCCGAAAAUACAACAUACCUUCAUAACUAUAGCAUACGUUGCUAAAUAUUCCCAAUGUAACGAGACGUUGCGCUUAUAUUUAGUGACGAGUGUCACUAAUAUAAUAUUAAUGCAAUCAAAUAUGGAUUUAGAGCAGGAGGAAACCCUCGCGACCGAACACAGUGUUGAUGGUGAAGGAGACAACAGCUUUUACCUCAACAGGUUUACGUUGACAAAACAUCACUUCUCAUCCGCCACUGUCUCCUCUCUUCGUGUGCUGAGUGAAGGUAUGAUCAUGUAACGUUAACUUAUAGUAAUUAUACUAAGCUUGUUCGCGGUCAUUUCUUCGGUAACGUUACCAUUUUCGAUUUUGGUAACGUUACACUAAACUUAUUUUUCUUUUUUCUUUUUUAACUAAAUUUGUACAUUUUCUGAGAAAACUUUUUUAAUGGCGUAACGUUAAUUGAAUUUGCGAAAUUUGUAUCUAUGAUGCUAGGGUGUUGUUGUUUACUACAGUGACGUUAGUCGUUGAUUAAUCAAGUGACUCGAAUCUUUAGAAUCGGUCUUUAGUAAGCACCGCUAAUUCUACUAACAUUCACUGUACAGUUCCAGCAGCAGCUGAAGUAAGUUAGUCUCUUUGUUUGACAGAUAUUUCCCCUCAGAUGCAGUGUCAAACUGGACAGAGCAGAAAGACAUCCGCAGCAAAACAGGUAAAGUUACCUUAGAUUUCAUUAGACGGGUCCUAAUCAAAUCUACACGACAGCAAUUCUACAUGUAUUGUGUGUUGACAUCUCUAUUUUUUUAUUAAAAAGCAAACCCACAGCACUUUGGUGACUUCAACAAAUCCUGCAAGGUUUGUAAACCUUUUUUUGAAUUUAAAAAAAUAUGCAUUCCACUGUAAAAUUCACAGAGUAAUAAUUUGCUUUGCUCGGUCUUUACCAGAGUUAAAGCUCCAGUUAACGAAGAAGAAAGUUCUUCAGAAAGGGAAUCCAGAGAAGGUAACCCAGUUGAUGCACCUAGUCUGGAAAAGUUAAUCUUCUAAAUUUAAACAAGUUCAAUAAGAUCUUCAACUAGAUAAAUAGCUCUUCAAAACGUUUGCAAUGUGAGCUACAUACACCUGGUCCACCCUGUUUCACAGUUUGGAGAUUCAAUAAGUUAAUGGCUAAUACAUAUGUAACUUCUGCCCCCCAGUGUUGAGACCCAUUCCCAUACAUGGCACCAUCUCAUUAGAUGCUUCUCACCAGCAGUCUGGGCCUACUUUGAGACGCUCAGUGAGAAUUAAUGGCAAAACAGCUGGAACAAAAGUUGAUCCAUCCACAAUGAAGAGAACUCAACUUCUGAAUACUCAACACAGGUCAAUACGAAGUACACAUAUUAGUAACUUUCAGAUUAUCGAUUGCUAAAACAUACAGUAGGGUCUAAAACCAUACUGUGAAUAUUUGAGAUUCAAAGAUGCUCUUUGGAACUUAUUUCAAAAUAUUAUCUAAUCCCAAUUUUUCAUUCUAAC
ensembl:lncRNA